AGCGAACGCUGGCGGCAGGCCUAACACAUGCAAGUCGAACGAAGUCUUCGGACUUAGUGGCGGACGGGUGAGUAACACGUGGGAACGUACCUUUUGGUUCGGAACAACUCAGGGAAACUUGAGCUAAUACCGGAUGAGCCCUUAGGGGGAAAGAUUUAUCGCCGAAAGAGCGGCCCGCGUUAGAUUAGCUAGUUGGUGAGGUAAAGGCUCACCAAGGCUACGAUCUAUAGCUGGUCUGAGAGGAUGAUCAGCCACACUGGGACUGAGACACGGCCCAGACUCCUACGGGAGGCAGCAGUGGGGAAUCUUGCGCAAUGGGCGAAAGCCUGACGCAGCCAUGCCGCGUGAAUGAUGAAGGUCUUAGGAUUGUAAAAUUCUUUUACCAGGGACGAUAAUGACGGUACCUGGAGAAAAAGCCCCGGCUAACUUCGUGCCAGCAGCCGCAGUAAUAC
rnacentral:rRNA from 1 species